UUAUGAGGCCUUCACUCUAUGCUAGUACUGUACUAGGUGCUAAUUAUUAAGUAAAACAGAAUGAACUCUUGCCCUCAUGGAGCUUACAGUUUAGUGGAGAAGACAUUACAUAAACAGUAUGACUAUACAAUGACAUAUUGUAAUAACUUACAUAACAGUAAAAUGAGAGGUUGGGGAGGGAUUAUUUAUGCUUUAAGAAGUCCGGAAUCCUGGAACGGAAUGGCAUUAAACGGAGACACGAAAGAGCCACAGGGUCUAUCGCCUGGGGAAGAGCAUUCCAGACAGGGAGAAACUCGUGCCGGAAUGACCCCGCUGUGGACAGUUGAGAGCAGAAUUUUAAUAGGCAAAAGAAAGAGAAGACCUCACUGCUGCAGAGAGGAAUCCUGGAGAAAUGGGUUGCCCUCAUUUUUCUUUUUCUUUUUUUGAGACAGUCUCUCACUGUCGCCCAGGCUGGAGUUCGUACCUCCACGAACUCCAUGCGCCACGUACGAGUGGUACAUUCGUACCUCGCUGCAGCGUCAACCUCCCGGGCUCAAUCAAUCCUCCCACCUCAGCCUCCCGAGUAGCUGGGACUGUAGGUAUUUAACUAUUUUUCUAUUGAGAUUUGGUCUUCCCCACCCCCCACCACAGAUUUUUUUAAUUAGAGGGCACUUUUCCAAACAAAUUAUUCUUAAGGUCCUGCUAUCUCUGAAUAUUAUUUUUAUAGAACAAGCAUAACUAUAAUUGGAUCAAUCAUCUAACCUUUCAAAUCCUCAACUUAGUCUUCUGUUAAUGAGAGGAUUAAAUCCAUGAGUUAAAUGAUCUCUAAGAAUCAGUAUGUCUCCAACUUCAGUGAACAAACAGCAGCUCACCCAGGGAUCGCGGUGGGACGCAGACACUGAUUCCGCAGUUGUGGACUUGGUGGGGAUGGGUGCUGUCUCAGUCCAUCUGGGCUGCUAUGGAGAGUGCCACAGACAGAGUGGCUUGUGAACAACAGACGCUGUCACCCUCUGGAGACUGAAAGUCCAAGAUCAAGGUGGCAGAAAAUGCUGUGUCUGAAGAGGAACCGUUUCAUUGUUCACAGCGUCUUCUCGCUGUGUCCUCAUGUGGCAGAAGGGCUGAGGGAGCUCUCCAGGAGCCUCCUUCAUGAGGGCACUCAUGCCAUCAUGGGACUCCGCUCUCACGACCUCAUCACCUCCCAAAGACCAUCACUUUGGGGGUUAGGAUUUAACAUAUGCCGUUUGGGGGGACACACACAUUCAGUCCACAGCAGCUCCAUCCAAUAUGUUGCAUUUCUAAUUAGCUCACAGGCAAUGCUGAUGAUACUGGUCCAGGAACCAUACUUCGAGUAGCAACAAACCAAAUAGCCACAGAGAGGAAGUGAUAGAUGUAGCAUUAAGGAAGAAAGAUUCCUUCCAGUGCCAAGGCAACUCAUCACAGUACCUACAAUACAGUGUCAUCCUGGAGGGACCAAGAGACCCUGGAUAGUUGGCCCAGGACAGAAUACUGUUGGGGGUUUGGAGGGUGGCAGUUAAAAAGCCAAGAUCUGUUUACCUGUUAAAAUAUAUAUUCUUUAUUAAAUAUAUAUUUAUUAUAUAUAUAAUUUAUUCUCUAUUAUGUAGGAUCCUGUGCCUGCAAUGUCUAACCUCUGUGCUGCAGAAAGCCUAGAGGUCAGAUAGGUGAGGGAGGCCACAGGCUUCUAAGUCAUUCUUCCCCUCCGAAUCUUAGUAACGGAGUGACAAAAGGAAAGUUACUAAUGAGUCCUUGCAUGUGAGAUGAAUUUAUGGACCUGUCUGCUUGAUCAAGAAUUAAUGGAUUGCAUUUAACAGAAGGUCCUUUCUCUCCCUUCCACUUACAGCUGGCGGAGCCUUUAUUAUUAUUAUCAUCCGUGGACCGAUGCGAGAUGAAUGUGCAAGGCUGUAAUGAGGGUGAACUCCUGGGUUAGCACACGCUUAACUGAAGCAAGGUCACGGGCUUGCUCUGUAAAGGCAAGGCCACUUUUCCUGUAUGGCAGUAAACUGUCUCUAGACAUGGGCGACCUGAGAGAACAGAAUUGGAGCAACGCACCAGAUGCACACAACCAGCAAACAUAGAGCUGGAAUCCAAAGUCAAUGCAUGUGAACGUCCCAGCUCAGAGAGAGGUGGCGAGCAGGAGAGGACUGGGUGAAAACGGUUCCCACACACACCUUUGUCUUCAUCAUUUAGUUCUCCAGGGUGUCGCAUCGACAACGCCACUUGACCUCCAUAGCAAUUCUGUGGCAUUUGUGCACCAGGAACUUUAUCCCCAUUUUGCCAGCGAGGAAACUCAGGUUUGGAGCGGGUAAAUCACCGCACAAAGCCUUACUGAACAGAACGCCAGGCCUCAACUUUUGCUGGCAUUGCCCUUCUUCACAGUUUACUUUAGGGCCUGUCAUUUACUGGGGUAAAACACAAAAAUUCCUUGUCCCUGAAAGACUGCAAUUAAAUUGCCAUUAGCACAGUAAUGUACCAACCAGUCAUUCCUCGGGCACAAGGGGGCAUGUCUACUGCUAUUCAGUCUCAGUGGGUAAACUGGAGAGUCCUCCCACAGUGAGCAGAUUGCGAGGGGGGUGCGUACGUGGAAGGACUCACAGGGGUUGGGGAGGCAGCAGUGGCGUUCUGCGUUCUGUCCGAGCCUGUGUGUAUUGCUAUAAAGGAAUACUCGAGGCUAGGUAACUUAUGAAGAAAAGAGGUUUAUU